CUCGCAGAUAUGGCGACAUGGUACCAAAGACCAUCAUGGGGAAGAUUGUGGGCUCCGUAUGCUCCCUGAGCGGCGUGUUGGUCAUCGCCCUGCCGGUUCCAGUCAUCGUCUCCAAC
rfam:Gasterosteus aculeatus cont1.011706, whole genome shotgun sequence.